AGAGUUUGAUCCUGGCUCAGAACGAACGCUGGCGGCGUGUCUUAAGCAUGCAAGUCGAACGAGAAACAGACCUUCGGGUUUGUGGACAGUGGCGGACGGGUGAGUAACACGUAGGUGAUCUACCUCGGGGUGGGGGAUAGCCCAUGGAAACAUGGGGUAAUACCGCAUGAUGCCGGGCAUCCGCGAAUGCCCGAUGAAAGGCGCAAUUGUGCCGCCCGGAGAUGAGCCUGCGGUCCAUUAGCUUGUUGGGGGGGUAAUAGCCUCCCAAGGCGACGAUCGGUAGCCGGUCUGAGAGGACGGACGGCCACACUGGAACUGAGACACGGUCCAGACUCCUACGGGAGGCAGCAGUGGGGAAUUUUGCGCAAUGGCCGAAAGGCUGACGCAGCAACGCCGCGUGGAGGAAGAAGGUCUUCGGAUCGUAAACUCCUGUCCUAAGGGACGAAGCUCCGCAAGGGGUUG
rnacentral:rRNA from 1 species